GACGAACGCUGGCGGCGUGCCUAAUACAUGCAAGUCGAACGCUUUUUCUUUCACCGGAGCUUGCUCCACCGAAAGAAAAAGAGUGGCGAACGGGUGAGUAACACGUGGGUAAUCUGCCCAUCAGAAGGGGAUAACACUUGGAAACAGGUGCUAAUACCGUAUACCACUAUUUUCCGCAUGGAAGAAAGUUGAAAGGCGCUUUUGCGUCACUGAUGGAUGGACCCGGGGUGCAUUAGCUAGUUGGUGAGGUAACGGCUCACCAAGGCAACGAUGCAUAGCCGACCUGAGAGGGUGAUCGGCCACACUGGGACUGAGACACGGCCCAGACUCCUACGGGAGGCAGCAGUAGGGAAUCUUCGGCAAUGGACGAAAGUCUGACCGAGCAACGCCGCGUGAGUGAAGAAGGUUUUCGGAUCGUAAAACUCUGUUGUUAGAGAAGAACAAGGUUGAGAGUAAAAUGUUCAUCCCUUGACGGUAUCUAACCAGAAAGCCACGGCUAACUACGUGCCAGCCGCCGCAGUAA
rnacentral:rRNA from 1 species